GAGGACACCCUGAGCAGGAAGGACAAGGAGCAGAGCGCACCUCUUGGAGCUGCACCCCUGAGCCCAUGCUCUAGCACAGGGACAGCGAUCUACAGGGUAGCACGGUGGGAGUCACUGCCUCCUGCUUGCCUAGAAGCUUUUCCCCCUACACAUCACUACCUAGCUAUUGCUGCUCUUCAUUCCCAUCCCUCUCUGGCCCCCCUUAUGUCUUUCUCCACCUUUCUGCUGCAUGAGGACUUCUCUCGCUCUGCUGCAGCCCUCAGUGCCGAUUGCCCAUCCUCCAGGUAUCCGCCACUUCUUGGCAGUGCAACGCUGCCUGCUCUGUCCUGCAGGAACCAUUAGGAACAAGCUCUUCCCUGUGCUGAUCCAAACCGAUAAUUGCUCCCCACCCUCCAGCCCUCUCUCCCUUUGCUGGGAAGUGUUUUCCCUCACAGGUUCGCUGGCCCACUCCCAGCCAGACCUGCAGGCGAGCAGAUGCCCAGCUCACCUGCACCCAUGCGGGGUCUGCCAGGCAAGCCGGUCCCGUCUCACCAGCGUCCGGAUGGGGAAUCCACUGCACGCCAGGGAGAUGCAGCAAGAGUUAAGGCAAAGGCUCCCCUCUCUCCUCCUCCAGUCCCUCCCCUUCCACCAGCUCCCCCCACCAAAUUGUCACCCUGCUCUCAGACCUUGAACUGCGGCCCUGACGGGAAAGCAAGAAUAGCAAGCAGCUGUGGGUGGACAGGGCAAAGGCCCCACAUUUGCAAAGAUCAGCCACAGCCAUCAGCAGUGAGCCCACAGACCCCAGAGCACGGCCUCAGCCACCUGCCUGCUCUGCACCCAUCUCAGCACCAACGUGCUUUUCCAGCGUUGAUCGUGAGCUAUGCCAGCAGCAGGCAUUCCAGUUCUGCUACUUUUCUCAAGACAGUUCAGCUCCAUAAAUUUUUUUUUAAUGGUUGUUACUGUUUCAUCUAUCGCUUUGCCCAUAAACAUGCCUGCCAAAUUCCUA